GAAAUGCGAUAAGUAAUGUGAAUUGCAGAAUUCAGUGAAUCAUCGAAUCUUUGAACGCACCUUGCGCUCCUUGGUAUUCCUUGGAGCAUGCCUGUUUGAGUAUCAUGAAAUCUUCAAAGUAAAUCUUUUGUUAACUCAAUUGGUUUCUACUUUGGUAUUGGAGGUCUUUGCAGCUUCACACCUGCUCCUCUUUGUUCAUUAGCUGGAUCUCAGUGUUAUGCUUGGUUCCACUCGGCGUGAUAAGUUAUCUAUCGCUGAGGACACUGUAAAAGGUGGCCAAGGUAAAUGCAGAUGAACCGCUUCUAAUAGUCGAUUGACUUGGACAAUACUUUUAUGAUCUGAUCUCAAAUCAGGUAGGACUACCCGCUGAACUUAAGC
rnacentral:misc_RNA from 1 species